GCCCUCAUAGCUCAGGCGGUAGAGCACAUUCUUGGUAAGAAUGAGGUCAUGGGUUCAAGUCCCAUUGAGGGCU
rnacentral:tRNA from 2 species